GGAUCUUGAUAAAAUGCAGAUUCUGAGUCAGUAUGUCCUAUGUCGGGCCCAGGAUUCUGUAUUUCUAACAAGUUCUCAGAUGUUGC
rnacentral:miRNA from 1 species